UCGGGUAUGGUGUAACGACUAACAUUGCCGCCUCUCAUUUCGUGCUGGUACUCGGAUCAUGUCAACGCGGCAGCUCGGGGUUCGAUUCCCCGUACCCGAA